CGCUCGAUCAUGCGAAAAUUGUUAACUGGCUGGCUGCCCACAGUGAACUCGACACUGAAAGCGAGGUGGGAAUAUGAUAACAUUGACAGGAAACUAACCGAAACAUGUGCUCAAAGUUUCCAUAACAAAGGCGAAUGGAAACAAAGUUCGAAUCUCGGAAAAUGAAAACACAAA